CCUUCAUCGAGGCCUGCCUCCUCAGCCAAUUCCAAGGGAACGCUGAUUUCGUAGUCAAUAAUCAGCGAGCCACCAGAUAAGGCACGGACAGGAGCAGCCUGAAGCCGCCGUGCCACGCGGACACCCUGAAUGG
rnacentral:SRP_RNA from 14 species